rnacentral:rRNA from 1 species
GGCGGCGUGGAUAAGACAUGCAAGUCGAACGAGAGAAUUGCUAGCUUGCUAAUAAUUCUCUAGUGGCGCACGGGUGAGUAACACGUGAGUAACCUGCCCCCGAGAGCGGGAUAGCCCUGGGAAACUGGGAUUAAUACCGCAUAGUAUCGAAAGAUUAAAGCAGCAAUGCGCUUGGGGAUGGGCUCGCGGCCUAUUAGUUAGUUGGUGAGGUAACGGCUCACCAAGGCGAUGACGGGUAGCCGGUCUGAGAGGAUGUCCGGCCACACUGGAACUGAGACACGGUCCAGACACCUACGGGUGGCAGCAGUCGAGAAUCAUUCACAAUGGGGGAAACCCUGAUGGUGCGACGCCGCGUGGGGGAAUGAAGGUCUUCGGAUUGUAAACCCCUGUCAUGUGGGAGCAAAUUAAAAAGAUAGUACCACAAGAGGAAGAGACGGCUAACUCUGUGCCAGCAGCCGCGGUAAUACAGAGGUCUCAAGCGUUGUUCGGAAUCACUGGGCGUAAAGCGUGCGUAGGCUGUUUCGUAAGUCGUGUGUGAAAGGCGCGGGCUCAACCCGCGGACGGCACAUGAUACUGCGAGACUAGAGUAAUGGAGGGGGAACCGGAAUUCUCGGUGUAGCAGUGAAAUGCGUAGAUAUCGAGAGGAACACUCGUGGCGAAGGCGGGUUCCUGGACAUUAACUGACGCUGAGGCACGAAGGCCAGGGGAGCGAAAGGGAUUAGAUACCCCUGUAGUCCUGGCAGUAAACGGUGCACGCUUGGUGUGCGGGGAAUCGACCCCCUGCGUGCCGGAGCUAACGCGUUAAGCGUGCCGCCUGGGGAGUACGGUCGCAAGAUUAAAACUCAAAGAAAUUGACGGGGACCCGCACAAGCGGUGGAGUAUGUGGCUUAAUUCGAUGCAACGCGAAGAACCUUACCUGGGCUUGACAUGUAAUGAACAACAUGUGAAAGCAUGCGACUCUUCGGAGGCGUUACACAGGUGCUGCAUGGCCGUCGUCAGCUCGUGUCGUGAGAUGUUUGGUUAAGUCCAGCAACGAGCGCAACCCCUGUUGCCAGUUACCAGCACGUGAAGGUGGGGACUCUGGCGAGACUGCCCAGAUCAACUGGGAGGAAGGUGGGGACGACGUCAGGUCAGUAUGGCCCUUAUGCCCAGGGCUGCACACGUACUACAAUGCCCAGUACAGAGGGGGCCGAAGCCGCGAGGCGGAGGAAAUCCUGAAAACUGGGCCCAGUUCGGACUGUAGGCUGCAACCCGCCUACACGAAGCCGGAAUCGCUAGUAAUGGCGCAUCAGCUACGGCGCCGUGAAUACGUUCCCGGGUCUUGUACACACCGCCCGUCACAUCAUGGAAGCCGGUCGCACCCGAAGUAUCUGAAGCCAACCGCAAGGAGGCAGGGUCCUAAGGUGAGACUGGUAACUGGGAUGAA